GUGAGAAGGAAGGUCAAAAUCCUGUGAGAAGAAUCCUGUGAGCAGCAACCUGUGGUGUUUGAGCAGCAGGAGACUCGGAGGGCCUGGGAGAGAGGCUUCCAAGAAACAGCUGACCACAAGGAUGAAACUCGUGUGGGAGGAAGAGGGAGCAUGCUUGGCAGCUGGCCUCCAACGCAGGAAUCGCUGCCACAGGAGGACAGAGAAUAUUUUGUGGCAGCUCAGCUUAUCAUGCAUUUUUGUGCAGACCCUUCCAGUUUCUCAGUGAUGUUCUGUCUGCUUGAAUGGCUGUCCAUGUGUGCUUGGUCCAUGUCUGAGAUAAGGACUGCACCCAGCUUGCACCUGCUUUCUGGUGCUGCCUCUUGGGCUUCCCUGCUUGCAGGGAGCAAAGAUGCAGUGAGUCUGAGCACAGAGAACAAGAUGACUUCUCCAGCAGGAACCACAGACCCGAUCAUCUUCUUUCACUGCACACCCAUUGCUGUCAUAAUUUCCCCUACUGCAAAUAAGAGAGCUGUCUGGUCUCACGUGUUCAUGUAG
rnacentral:lncRNA from 1 species